rnacentral:lncRNA from 1 species
UUGGUCGGAAACCGAACAAGGAGAUGGUACGUCGAGACGAUCGCCUUGAGGGCGUUCAAUCCGGGUCGUCCAAGUAUGACGUUGUAAGCCGAAGGAACUUGGACGACCGUGAAAGUUAGGUGGACCGUGCUUUGCCGAGGUUCGGUGCCGGUCGUCACGGGCAGGGUAAUUUCCCCCUCUGUCGUGACAGCGUCUCCGGCAAAGCCGAUCAGGGGCACAGAGACCCUCUUAAGUCGGUCAGUUGACAGUCGCAUUCGAGAGAAGGUCGAGUAAAAUAAAAUAUUUGUCGAACUUCCAUUAUCAACAAAAAUUCAUUUUACAUCAUAAUUUGCUAUUGUCGCCGACACAACAACAGCAUCGUCGUGGGGAGUUUG